AAGGUAGCAUAAUCCUUAGUCAUUUAAUUGAUGACUUGUAUGAAGGAUUGGAUGAAAUAUAUACUGUCUCUUAAUUAAAUAUGGAAUUUAAUUUUUUAAUUAAAAAGUUAAAAUGAAUUAAAAAGACGAGAAGACCCUAUAGAGUUUUAUAAUUAAUUUAAUUAAGAUUAUUUAAAUAAUUAAGUUAAAAUUAAGUUUAAUUAUUUUAUUGGGGUGAUAGAAAAAUAUGUGUAACUUUUUUUAAUUAAAGACAUUUAUAAGUGGUUAAGUGAUCCAUUAUUAUUGAUUAUAAGAAAAAAUUACCUUAGGGAUAACAGCGUAAUUUUUUUUUUUAGUUCAAAUAAGAAAAAGAGUUUGCGACCUCGAUGUUGGAUUAAGAUAAAAUUUAAAUGCAGAAG
rnacentral:rRNA from 1 species